GACAGAGGAUGCGAACGUUGCUCGGAAUUACUGGGCGUAAAGCGCGUGUAGGCGGUUUUGUAAGUCGGGUGUGAAAGCCCGGGGCUCAACCCCGGAAGAGCAUUCGAUACUGCGGAACUUAGGGUCCUGAAGAGGAGAGCGGAAUUCCCGGUGUAGAGGUGAAAUUCGUAGAUAUCGGGAGGAACACCAGUGGCGAAGGCGGCUCUCUGGGCAGGUACCGACGCUGAGACGCGAAAGCGUGGGAAGCAAACAGG
rnacentral:rRNA from 1 species